GAUGAACGCUGGCUACAGGCUUAACACAUGCAAGUCGAGGGGAAACGCCGGGGAAGCUUGCUUCCCCGGGCGUCGACCGGCGCACGGGUGAGUAACGCGUAUCCAACCUGCCUCUGACUGAGGGAUAACCCGUCGAAAGUCGGCCUACUACCUCAUGUCUUCGUCUGCGGGCAUCCAACGACGAUUAAAGCUUUCAUUGGUCAGGGGUUGGGAUGCGUCUGAUUAGCUUGUUGGCGGGGUAACGGCCCACCAAGGCUACGAUCAGUAGGCGUUCUGAGAGGCAGGCCCCCCGCAUCGGAACUGAGAUACGGACCAAACUGCUACGGGACGCAGCGGUGAGGAAUACUAGGCAAGGGGCGGGAGCCGGAACCAGCCAAGUAGCGUGCAGGAUGACGGCGAUAUGGGUUGUAAGCUGCUUUUAUGCGGGGAUAAAGUGAGGGACGGGUCCUUCAUUGCAGGUACCGAAUGAAUAAGGACCGGCUAAUUCCGUG
rnacentral:rRNA from 1 species